UGAUACUGGCAGCACACGGCGUUGAAAGUGAGCGGUGAUCUCACUGCUCAGCAGCGACAUGAGCGUACAGCGACACCCUGCCGCCAGCGGCGGUAACAAUAACAACAGCAGCGAUGGUACUGAUAUUGCCACAGUCAAUUUUCACAAAAGAACAGGGUCAACGAGCCGCUUACGUAGACGAGGCGCGCACUGCAAAAGUGCGAAAACGGUUAGGCCACAGCCAGUUGGUUAGCGUCGGACGUUCUAACCUAGUUACCGAAAGUAAACCGCUUCCUAGUGCUAGCUCUAGGCAGUCAACGUAAGCUUAGUUAACAGUCUCCGUUAUGUUUGACAGGUUCCCCCCAGAUGCCUGUGACGAACGCUUGUGUGACCACGAAAAACUGUAGUACGUUUACUUACGGUAUUAUUGUUUUCGAUACCUGCCUCCGUAGAGAGAAUCGCGGGAUGCCGUCCAGCCCCGUUAACUAAUGAAAAAAGAGCACGUGUAUAACUGGAAAGCUUUAACGCGAGAUGUUCUUCAUUGGCACGCUAGCCGCAGAAAAGUGGGUCACUGAGACCAGGAAAUGGAGAAGGAGGCGGUAGCGAGGUGAACGUUCGAGCAAGGACAAACUCACAAACCCAAACGCGUCGUCUGCUGUUGAACAAGAAGCGAUGGCGCAGUGAGGAACCGUGCCUGCCUAAGAGAAUUGUCCUGCAGAAAAGUGAGAGAUGGCCUAACAAGGCCAGGUCGCGAAUAAACUGGAACGGAUUUAUUAAAUCACUAUGUUCGUUGUUGAUUACAUAAGAAAUUCGUAAGGUAAGUGAAUUCUAUUGUGCCUAAUAUUUCGAUUCUAGCACUUGGUAUUAUAUCAACAGACGAGCAGUUCUGCAGAGGAAAAUAGUAAAUUUUGCUGACGGAAGCUAAAACGCAAAGACUAAAUAGUAUGUCACAGGUCACAGCCAACCAUCGUCGAAUAACGGACGGAUCAGUUCAGGACGCCAAUUCUUCAAGUUGUACGGGCUAAAGGGCAUUGGAUACUGUACUCUUUUAGCCUCUGUCUUCAAGUUUAUAACAACAUCACUAUUUUGAUUCUCUAUUUUUUAGCUAACAACAAUGUUGGGAUAACUUGUCAUCUUCAAGACGCUCCACACCCUUGUCUCAAUCUACCAGAUGAAGACCUCCUUGACGAGUUUCUCCGAACUUCAACAUGCCUUCAAGAAAUGACAGUCUAGUGUUAAGAUUCUUCUAUCACCGUUGUACAGGGAGCGCGCCAUACGUAGCAGUGUCAGCGCUUUGCUCUCAGUUUUUAACUACGGAUCUCACUGUCACCUACGUUCCCGUCAUUAUUACGCCAUAGUAUGCGCCGACCGUACGGAGAGUUACCAGAAGUGAUAUUAUUGUAUAAGUAGAACUACUACCAUGGGCAGCCUCGCUGCCAUCACGUCGUGCUCUUUUAGCUUCUGACGGCGUGAGGGACCGCCGCUAUUACUACUACAACUAGUACAUCCGCGCGCGCAGUUAUGGCCGGUAGAUAAUGGCGUUUAGGACGCGGGGCUUAACAGUAGAGUCGACGAGGGCCAUGCCCCAUGCGACUGUGUUGUAUUUUGCGACCAACAGAAUAAAAUAAUAAGAGAAGGAGAAGGAGGAGGGGGAGCAGGAGCAUGGCUGGGGAGGAGGGAGGGAAGAGAAGAGGUCGAUUUGCCGAGCAGGCAAACGCUGAUUCUGCCGUAGCUGACCUGGAUUCAGAGGGCAUCGACUCCCCGACCUGACCUCGACCACUGCUGCAACAACCAUCGCAUCAUUGACAAUCGUUUCAACCACUGCUGAACCACACAACGACCACCACUAAAAACCAACACUGUUUACUACCGUUACCGCCGUCGUCGCCAAUACCGAGCCGGCAAAGCGCCUCUCGCGUCAGCAGCAGCUGCAAAGAACGACUAAACGCAGAGCGCGCGCCGCUCGCAAGGGGCAGACAGACAACUACGGAGAGUUGUAGAGACACAGCAGCCAUAGAGAGUUAGUUGCGUUUGCAACAACAACAACAACAGUAGCGGCGGCCGCGUAAGGAGGCCAUCCGCUCUCGACCCAUUUCGGGUUCGUUCACUUCCGAUCCUCCAGUAGCCUGCAUAGUAACAGGAUUGGGGUAAAGCGCAACGUCAAAACUGCGUUUGACUUUGUGAGGCCAGUACAACCAUAUGCUUACCUAUUCAGCGCCUACAGAUCUUUGACUCUACACCAAGACUGUCCAGACUUAAAUGGCGACCUUUGCUGAUGAGAUAUUAUUGGCCUGUGGGGCCAUGUCAAUCCUGAAAUAAUCCCAAGUUCACGGGGCGAGAGUUUUCGCGCAGCAAUGCAUCAUUUAUCGCCUAAUAUCAAUCAUAGUUUCUCGGCAAAGGCCUGUUUACUAAGUGCAUUAAUCUUCAAAGCUUAAUUCGAUGAUGAAAACAAUAUUACCAUUAAUAUGAUAUGCUACGCUGGAAAACGCACGCGGUAGCAAAACUCAAAUGCAUGAAAUCCUGUGUUUUUGAGAUCUCUUGUAUUCGCGUGAAACAAAUUCGCUUUAUAGAGUAUAGAAGAACACUAUGAAUGUAACAGAUGUCAGGUCGCCCCGAUAUGCUGAAGUUAAUCGCGUCCAACUUCCAAUGUCCUAAUAACGAUGCACUAUCGAACAGCGUCCGAAAAAGAUGGUAAAGGCAUAUUAAGUUGUUAUGAACAUGCACCUAUACAAGGCGUUUAAAGGAUGUAAUAAGACUUAAAGACUGUCGCCACAAAAACCCGAAGGUAAAAUCUUCUUGUCAAAACAGUAUAUUGAAGCAGAACUAUUGAAAAAGCUGAAUACCUAAACGAUAUGUACAUAAAAAGCAAUAAAACGGCGUGUGCCAUUCGAUCAAACUGA